rnacentral:misc_RNA from 1 species
GAUGAAGAACGCAGCGAAAUGCGAUAAGUGAUGUGAAUUGCAGAAUUCAGUGAAUCAUCGAAUCUUUGAACGCACCUUGCACCCUUUGGCAUUCCGAAGGGUAUGCUCGUUUGAGUGUCAUUGUACUCUCACUCUCCCGAUCUUUGGAUCGGGAGUGGUGGACUUGGGUGUUGCUGCUUUACCGUGGCUCACCUCAAAUGGAUUCGUGCAACUCCUGGUUGGACAUAGUACGGCGUGAUAAGUGUCUUCGCCGGCACCUCACUAGAGGGUGGCUGACCGGGAGCUCUGUGCUUCAAACCGUCUUCGGACAACAACUGACAACUUGACCUCAAAUCGAGUAGGACCACCCGCUGAACUUAAGCAUAUCAAUAAGCGGAGGA